GGCCUUACCGUGCGUGUGGUGUAAUUAAUGACUUCGGAAUGGCUUGAUUUAGCGUAGCUUUUUAUCACGGUGCGCAACUGGCCGCUCAGGAUAUGGCCCUGGGAUGACGUAACUUGAUGUGACCCGACGGGAUUGCAUGACGGCCAUACUCGGCAUUUCACCGCUUGACCAACGCCCAUGCCUUGGGAUCCUGGCUUGCGAGCGGGAAUCAUGGUCGGUAGAAGGAUGUAAACUUGGAGUCGAGACUGAGCCCAAUAUGGG
rnacentral:lncRNA from 1 species